AUUGAACGCUGGCGGCAUGCUUUACACAUGCAAGUCGAACGGUAACAGGCCGCAAGGUGCUGACGAGUGGCGAACGGGUGAGUAAUGCAUCGGAACGUGCCCAGUCGUGGGGGAUAACGCAGCGAAAGCUGUGCUAAUACCGCAUACGAUCUGUGGAUGAAAGCGGGGGACCGAAAGGCCUCGCGCGAUUGGAGCGGCCGAUGUCAGAUUAGGUAGUUGGUGGGGGAAAGGCUCACCAAGCCAACGAUCUGUAGCUGGUCUGAGAGGACGACCGGCCACACUGGGACUGAGAAACGGCCCAGACCCCUACGGGGGGCAGCAGUGGGGAAUUUUGGACAAGGGGCGCAAGCCUGGUCCAGCAAUGCCGCGUGCAGGAAGAAGGCCUUCGGGUUGUAAACUGCUUUUGUACGGAGCGAAAAGGCUCUCUCUAAUACAGGGGGCUCAUGACGGUACCGUAAGAAUAAGCACCGGCUAACUACGUGCCAGCCGCCGCCGUAACAC
rnacentral:rRNA from 1 species